rnacentral:rRNA from 1 species
GAGUUUGAUCCUGGCUCAGGAUGAACGCUGGCGGCGUGCUUAACACAUGCAAGUCGAACGGGCUCAUAUUGAAACCUAGUGAUUUAUGAGUUAGUGGCGGACGGGUGAGUAACGCGUGGAAAACCUGCCGUAUACUGGGGGGAUAACACUUAGAAAUAGGUGCUAAUACCGCAUAAGCGCACAGCUUCGCAUGAAGUGGUGUGAAAAACUCUGGUGGUAUACGAUGGUUCCGCGUCUGAUUAGCUUGUUGGCGGGGUAAUGGCUCACCAAGGCGACGAUCAGUAGCCGGCCUGAGAGGGUGAACGGCCACAUUGGGACUGAGACACGGCCCAAACUCCUACGGGAGGCAGCAGUGGGGAAUAUUGCACAAUGGGGGAAACCCUGAUGCAGCGACGCCGCGUGAGUAGAAGAAGUUAGUUUCGGUAUAGUAAA